UACGUAGGCAGCGAGCGUUGUUCGGAGUUACUGGGCGUAAAGGGUGUGUAGGCGGUCCUCUAAGUUUGGUGUGAAAUCUCCCGGCUCAACCGGGAGGGUGCGCCGAAAACUGGGGGACUAGAGUGCGGGAUGGGAGAGUGGAAUUCCUGGUGUAGCGGUGAAAUGCGUAGAUAUCAGGAGGAACACCGGUGGUGUAGACGGCUCUCUGGACCGUAACUGACGCUGAGGCACGAAAGCUAGGGGAGCAAACAGG
rnacentral:rRNA from 1 species